AUUAAAGAUUUGGUCCUGGUCUUUUUAUUGGUUGUUAGCAAAACUACACAUGCAAGCGUCCACGCACCAGUGAGAACAUCCUCCGAUAUCUACCAUUAGACUCAGAGGAAUGGGUAUCAAGCACACUAAACAGUAGCUAAAGACACCUCGCUAAGCCACGCCCCCACGGGAAACAGCAGUGAUUAAAAUUGAGCAAUGAACGAAAGUUUGACUCAGUUAUGCUAUUCAGGGUUGGUAAAUUUCGUGCCAGCCACCGCGGUCACACGAUUAACCCAAAUCAAUAAGCAUCCGGCGUAAAGCGUGUCACACUUACUAAACACAAUAAGGUUAAGAAUUAACUAAGCCGUAAAAAGCCCCAGUUAAAAUAAAAAUCAACAACGAAAGUAACCUUAUUAACCAUGCUCAGACACGACAGCUAAGACCCAAACUGAGAUUAGAUACCUCACUAUGCUUAGCCGUAAACCUAACUUAUUAUUCAAAACAAAAUACUUCGCCUGAGAACUACUAGCUGCCGCUUAAAACUCAAAGGACUUGGCGGUGCUUUAUAUCCAUCUAGAGGAGCCUGUUCUAUAAUCGAUAAACCCCGAUAAACCUCACCAUCUUUUGCAACUCAGCCUAUAUACCGCCAUCUUCAGCAAACCUUAACAAAGAAAAGAAGUAAGCACAAUAAUCUAUCAUAAAAACGUUAGGUCAAGGUGUAGCCUAUAAGAUGGGAAGAAAUGGGCUACAUUUUCUACCCAAGAACAUCACACGAUAACCAAUAUGAAACCUAUUGGCCAAAGGAGGAUUUAGUAGUAAAUUAAGAAUAGAGAGCUUAAUUGAAUAGAGCAAUGAAGCAUGCACACACCGCCCGUCACCCUCCUCAACCUAUCAAACUCAACUAAUACCUAAUUAAAGUAAUAAGAUACUAGAGGAGAUAAGUCGUAACAAGGUAAGCAUACUGGAAAGUGUGCUUGGAAAAAC
rnacentral:ncRNA from 1 species